GCGUAACUUCCGCUCAGUCUCUGUCUUCCAGCUCCAUGAUGGGAUACAGACGGAUGUUCAACUCUUUGUCUGCUAAUAGAUGCUGGUUCUACUGCUGAGGUCCUGUGGCAGAGCAGAAACUAUGGGAUAGAGCUACUGACCGAGUCAUGCCUUGCCUUUAGGUCUAAAGGUGGAGCCUUGAUGAGUGUCUCAGUAUGGGACUGACUGAUGCUGCAGCCUGACUGAC